AUUGAACGCUGGCGGCAGGCCUAACACAUGCAAGUCGAGCGGCAGCGGGAAAGUAGCUUGCUACUUUUGCCGGCGAGCGGCGGACGGGUGAGUAAUGCCUGGGAAAUUGCCCAGUCGAGGGGGAUAACAGUUGGAAACGACUGCUAAUACCGCAUACGCCCUACGGGGGAAAGCAGGGGACCUUCUGGCCUUGCGCGAUUGGAUAUGCCCAGGUGGGAUUAGCUAGUUGGUGAGGUAAUGGCUCACCAAGGCGACGAUCCCUAGCUGGUCUGAGCGGAUGAUCAGCCACACUGGAACUGAGACACGGUCCAGACUCCUACGGGAGGCAGCAGUGGGGAAUAUUGCACAAUGGGGGAAACCCUGAUGCAGCCAUGCCGCGUGUGUGAAGAAGGCCUUCGGGUUGUAAAGCACUUUCAGCGAGGAGGAAAGGUCAGUAGCUAAUAUCUGCUGACUGUGACGUUACUCGCAGAAGAAGCACCGGCUAACUCCGUGCCAGCCGCCGCAGUAAUAC
rnacentral:rRNA from 1 species